rnacentral:misc_RNA from 1 species
CCGUUGCCGAGAUUGAAAUUAAUACCGAAUGGAUUUCAUACGGAAAAUUAAAAGCGCUCGAUAAAAA